rnacentral:lncRNA from 1 species
CCCCAUCCCCAGGUGGGGGUCCCGGUGGGCCGCCUGGAGCAGCGGGUGGGGGCUCUGAGGGGUCGCACCCCAUACACCGUCCGGGUCCGCGUCCGCCCCGACGGGCUGAGCUACGGCGGCUAUUGGAGCCCGUGGUCCGAACCCAUCACUGCCGUCACCGCCCCCGAUGUGGACCCGGUGACGGUGGGGCUCUCCUCUCUGCUGGCGCUGCUGCUGCUGGGGCUGGCAAUGCUCGCGCUGCUCGGACAGCGGCGGAAGCUGCAGGAGAAGCUGUGGCCGCCCGUGCCCGGCCCUGAGAGGGAAUUCGAGGGGCUCUUCAGCGCCUAUGGGGGCAAUUUUCAGCUCUGGCUGUACCAAGGGGUGGUGGAGCCCUGGAGCCCCCCCGGAGGCACCCCGGAAGCCGAGGAACAGCCCAGUGCCGUGGAAGAGGUGGGGCCCCCCCCCGGGCAAAGAGCCCCCCCCCGGGGACCCCCCCGUCUGCCCCCCCUUCGGCCCCCCCCAGCGGCCCCUCGCCCGCCUCCAGCUUUGAGUACACGCUGUUUGACCCCGGCUCGGCCCUGCUCUGCCCCAGGGGGCACCCCCAAAUCGCCCCCCCCCCACGACCCCCCCCGGCGGCCCCUACGCCAACCUGGCCCCUCCCCACAAAGGGUCCCCCCCCCCCGAGGAGGGGACCCCCCAAAGAAACCCCCCACGACAGGAGACCCCCACGGGAGCUUCCGUGCAAUGGGAACCCCCCCGGGACCCUCCUGGCGUUGGGGCCCCCCCCAAUGCCCCCCCCCUACGUGCUGUGCUCUUAAUGGAUGGGGGGGGGGGGAGAGGGGGGCGGAGGGGGGGGUUGGGGACACCCCCCGGGAUGGGGUGACACCGAAUGGAGGGGACACGGCGACGUGAGGUCACGUGGGCUCACCACGACACGGGGACGUGUCACACCACGGCACGAGGAUGGAGGGGACGUGUCAUAGUGACGUCACGUGGGCUCACCAUGACACGAGGAUGGAGGGGACGCGUCAUAGUGAUGUCAUGUGGGCUCACCAUGACACGAGGAUGGAGAUGACACACUGUAGUGAUGUCACAUGGACUCAUAGUGACAUCACAUGGACUCACCACGACACGAGUAUGGAGGUAACGCGUCAUAGUGACGUCACGUGGACUCACCACGACACGAGGAUGGAGGUGACGCGUCAUAGUGACGUCACGUGGACUCACCACGACACGGGGACGGAGGGGACACGUCGCAGUGACGUCACGUGGGGACACAGCGGGGUUGUGGGGGUGGUCCCGUCCCACCCCCCCCCCCCCCCCCAAUGUCCAUACGCCGAAUUGGGGCCACUCGUGUUGGUUUGCCACUGUUUUAUACAAUAAAGCACUCGUGAGCGCACGCAGCGCCUCGGGGGGGGGUGGGGUGGGGUGGGGGCGGUGAUAAGGCCUUAUCAGAGCCCCCAGGGCCGGGGGGGGGCACAGCACGCGCUCAGCCCCACGCUGUGGGUGUCGGGGGGGGGGAGGGGGGUGGCUGUGAGGGCACUGAUAACGUGGGCUGUCCGCUCGUGUCGCCUCCUGGCACCUCCGGACACCUCCGGACACCUCCGGACACCAGCAGUGCGGCACGGGGGCUCGUGGCACCUCGGUUCCGUGUCGUAUAGGCACUGUGACAUCUGGGUCCCAUGUCACCUUGGUUCCGUGUCGUAUAGGCACUGUGACGUGGGUUCCGUGUCACCUGGGUUCCAUGUCACCGGGGUUCUGUGUCACCUGGGUUCUGUGUCACCUCGGUUCCGUGUCGUAUAGGCACUGUGACGUGGGUCCCGUGUCACCUGGGUUCUGUGUCACCUGGGUUCCGUGUCGUAUAGGCACUGUGUCACCUGGGUUCCGUGUCACCUGGGUUCUGUGUCACGGUGUUCCAUGUCACCUGGGUCCCAUGUCACCUUGGUUCCGUGUCGUAUAGGCACUGUGACGUGGGUUCCGUGUCACCUGGGUUCCAUGUCACCUGGGUUCUGUGUCACCUGGGUUCCGUGCCAUAUAGGCACUGUGACAUCUGGGUUCCGUGUCACCUGGGUUCUGUGUCACCUGGGUUCCAUGUCGUAUAGGCACUGUGUCACCUGGGUUCCAUGUCACCUGGGUUCUGUGUCACCUGGGUUCUGUGUCACCUGGGUUCUGUGUCACCUGGGUUCCGUGCCAUAUAGGCACUGUGACAUCUGGGUUCCGUGUCACCUGGGUUCUGUGUCACCUCGGUUCUGUGUCGUAUAGGCACUGUAUCACCUGGGUUCCAUGUCACCUGGGUUCUGUGUCGCCUGGGUUCUGUGUCGCCUGGGUUCCAUGUCACCUGGGUUCCGUGUCACCUUGGUUCCGUGUCGUAUAGGCACUGUGACGUGGGUUCCGUGUCACCUGGGUUCCGUGUCACCUGGGUUCUGUGUUGUAUAGGCACUGUGUCACCUGGGUUCUGUGUCACCUGGGUUCUGUGUCAUAUAGGCACCGUGUCACCUGGGUUCCGUGUCACCUGGGUUCUGUGUCAUCUGGGUUCCGUGUCACCUGGGUUCCGUGUCGUAUAGGCACUGUGUCACCUGGGUUCCGUGUCAUUGUGCCACCUGGGUUCCAUGUCAUAUAGGCACUGUGUCACCUGGGCACUGUGUCACCUGGGUUCUGUGUCACCUGGGUUCUGUGUCAUAUAGGCACUGUGUCACCUGGGUUCCGUGUCACCUGGGUUCUGUGUCACCGGGGUUCCGUGUCGUAUAGGCACUGUGACGUGGGUUCCGUGUCACCUGGGUUCCAUGUCACCGGGGUUCUGUGUCACCUGGGUUCCAUGUCACCUGGGUUCUGUGUCACCUGGGUUCUGUGUCAUAUAGGCACUGUGUCACCUGGGUUCUGUGACAUCUGGGUUCCGUGUCACCUGGGUUCCAUGUCAUAUAGGCACUGUGCCAUCUGGGUUCCAUGUCACCUGUGUUCCGUGUCACCUGUGUUCCGUGUCACAGUGUCACCCAGGCUCCGUGUCGUGCCGCACAGACUCUGUCACCUGCAUUCCAUGUCACCCGGGUUCUGUGUCACACAGGCAUUGCGUCCCCUGGGUUCCAUAGCACUCGGGUUCCGUGUCACCUGGGUUCCAUGUCGCGUGGGUUCCAUGACACAUAGGCAUUGUGUCACCCGGUCCCAUGUCACCAGGGCUCCAUGUCACCUGGGUUCUGUGUCACCUGGGUUCCGUGCCAUUUGGGUCUGUGUCACUCAGGUUCUGUGUCACCUUGGUUCCCUGUCACCUGGGUCCCACGCCACAGUGUCACCCAGGCUCCGUGUCACUGUGCCAUGCAGACCCCAUGUCACCUCGGUUCCGUGUCACCUGGACUCCACAUCACCCGGGCUCCAUGUCACUGUGUCACCUGGGCUCCACAUCACCUCUGCUCCAUGUCACCGUGUCACCUGGGCUCCACAUCACCUGGGCUCCAUGUCACUGUGUCACCUGGGCUCCAUGUCACCGGGCAGCUCUAUGUGACUGUGUCACCCGGGCUGCACAUCACCUGGUCUCCAUGUCACUGUGUCACCUGGGCUCCACAUCACUGGGGCUCCAUGUCACCGUGUCACCUGGGCUUCAUGUCACCAUGUCACCUGGGCUCCACGUCACCUGGGCUCCAUGUCACCGUGUCACCGGGCAGUUCCAUGUCACCGUGUCACCUGGGCUCCACAUCACCUGGGCUCCAUGUCACCGUGUCACCUGGGCUCCAUGUCACCUGGCAGCUCCAUGUCACUGUGUCACAUGGGCUCCACAUCACCUGGGCUUCAUGUCACAUGGGCAGCUCUAUGUCACCGUGUCACCCAGGCCCCACAUCACCUGGGCUCCAUGUCACUGUGUCACCUGGGCUCCACAUCACCUGGGCUCCGUGUCACUGUCUCAUGUGGGCUCCAUGUCACCGGGCAGCUCCAUAUCACCGUGUCACCUGGGCUCCACAUCACCUGGGCUCCAUGUCACCUGGCAGCUCCAUGUCACCGUGUCACCUGGGCUCCACGUCACCUGGGCUCUAUGACACUGUGUCACCAUGUCACCGUGUCACCUGGGCUCCACAUCACCUGGGCUCCAUGUCACUGUGUCACCUGGGUUCCGUGUCACUGAGUCAUGUGGGCUCCAUGUCACCUGGGCUCCAUGUCACCGUGUCACCGGGCAGUUCCAUGUCACCGUGUCACCUGGGCUCCACAUCACCUGGGCUCCAUGUCACCGUGUCACCUGGGCUCCAUGUCACCUGGCAGCUCCAUGUCACCGUGUCACCUGGGCUCCACAUCACCUGGGCUCCAUGUCAUUGUGUCAUGUGGGCUCCACAUCACCUGGGCUUCAUGUCACAUGGGCAGCUCUACGUCACCGUGUCACCCAGGCCCCACAUCACCUGGGCUCCAUGUCACUGUGUCACCUGGGCUCCACAUCACCUGGGCUCCGUGUCACUGUCUCAUGUGGGCUCCAUGUCACCGGGCAGCUCCAUGUCACCGUGUCACCUGGGCUCCAUGUCACCUGGGCUCCAUGACACUGUGUCACCUGGGUUCCAUGUCACUGAGUCAUGUGGGCUCCCUGUCACCUGGGCUCCAUGUCACCGUGUCACCGGGCAGUUCCAUGUCACCAUGUCACAUGGGCUCCACAUCACCUGGGCUCCGUGUCACUGUGUCACAUGGGCUCCGUGUCACUGUCUCAUGUGGGCUCCAUGUCACCGGGCAGCUCCAUGUCACCGUGUCACCUGGGCUCCACAUCACCUGGGCUCCAUGGCACUGUGUCAUGUGAGCUCCACGUCACUGGGGCUCCAUGUCACCGUGUCACCUGGGCUUCAUGUCACCAUGUCACCUGGGCUCCACGUCACCUGUGCUCCAUGUCACCGUGUCACCGGGCAGCUCCACGUCCCCGUGUCACCUGGGCUCCACAUCACCUGGGCUCCACACCAGCCAGGCUCAGUGACACCACAACACCCGAGGGCUGCACAUCACCACCCGACUCACCCUCAGCCUUCAUCCCCACUGCCAUCUCCGUCCUCAUCCUCGUCCCCAUCGCCGUCCCCAGGCCCGGGGGUGACGUUCAGCCCCCCGUGGGGCUCGAAGCGCAGCCUCCAUCCCCGCGGCACCGAUCCGGGCAGGACGAGGCGGACGUUCACCCGCAGUGGGACCCCGGGGAGGGGUCUCAGACGGCACUCAGCCGGGAAGUAACGGCGCAGGACGGGCAGCACACGGGGCCCGGGGGGGGGCACACGGAGGGCAGCCAGGAGCCGGGCCGGGGGUCGGGG